GACAUGGGUGGCAAACGUUAUCCGGAAUUAUUGGGCGUAAAGGGUGCGUAGGUGGUUUAAUAAGUUAUUGGUGGGAAAACGGGGCUCAACCCCGUUGAAGCUAGUAAUACUAUUGAACUAGAGGAUCGGAGAGGUUAACGGAAUGGCUCGCGUAGGGGUAAAAUCCGUAAAUACGAGUUGGAACACCAAAAGGCGAAGGCAGUUAACUAUUCGAUUCCUGACAUUGAGGCACGAAAGCGUGGGGAGCAAGACGG
rnacentral:rRNA from 1 species